CCUGCACUCCCCCUCUAUUCUCUUCCAUCUGGGGGCGGUACCUGUUGGGUGGGCAGGGCCUUGCUGCUCUGACUCCGCCCCCUUUGCUCCUCCCCUCGCAGGCUGCACAGCUUCGCCACCACCAUCCGCCAGGCAGUGCUGGCCUCCCUGGACAAUGAGGCGACCCACACGCCGGACAUCGGGGGCCAGGGCACCACGUCGGGGGCCGUCCAGUCCAUCCUGCGUUACGUCCGCACGGCCGGCGGCUGGAGCCAGUGCAGCUAGGGCCAGGGGGAGGACCCCACUCUCAGGCCAAGGCCAAGGGGCUGCACAGGCCGGUGCCCGCCAGCCAGGCGAUCCAUGGGGCGAGCCCAUAGCCCCCCGCCCCCCUGUCCAUGUCACUGCUGCUGUGUGCGUUGCUGUGGGGCCAGCGCCCCCCAUGGGGAGUAAAUGUCUGUCUGUCUGUCUG
rnacentral:lncRNA from 1 species